rnacentral:rRNA from 1 species
AUAAACGCUGGCGGCGUGCUUUAUGCAUGCAAGUCGUACGGUUUUGAGCAAUCAAGACAGUGGCGAGCGGGUGAGUAAUACGUAAGUAACCUGCCCCUAAGAACGGAAUAACUCUGAGAAAUUAGAGCUAAUACCGUAUGUGGCCCUUCCUUGAUGAGGAAGGAUUAAAGCCGUAAGGCGCUUAGGGAGGGGCUUGCGGCCUAUCAGGUAGUUGGUGAGGUAACGGCCCACCAAGCCAAAGACGGGUAGCUGGUUUGAGAGGACGUCCAGCCACAUUGGGACUUAGACACGGCCCAGACUCCUACGGGAGGCAGCAGCAGGGAAUUUUGUGCAAUGGGCGAAAGCCUGACACAGCGACGCCGCGUGAGGGAUGAAGGUCUUCGGAUUGUAAACCUCUUUUCUUAGGGAAGAAUAAUGACUGUACCUGAGGAAUAAGUGUCGGCUAACUACGU